UACGUAGGGUGCAAGCGUUGUCCGGAAUUAUUGGGCGUAAAGAGCUCGUAGGCGGCUCGGUAAGUCGGGUGUGAAACCUCCAGGCUCAACCUGGAGACGCCACUCGAUACUGCCGUGGCUAGAGUCCGGUAGAGGAGCGUAGAAUUCCUGGUGUAGCGGUGAAAUGCGCAGAUAUCAGGAGGAAUACCAGCGGCGAAGGCGGCGCUCUGGGCCGGUACUGACGCUGAGGCGCGAGAGCGUGGGGAGCGAACUGG
rnacentral:rRNA from 1 species